UUUCCGUAGGUGAACCUGCGGAAGGAUCAUUAUUGAAACUUCAUCCGGGGCGCCGCGGCCCUCAGCACCGGUGGAAACGCCGUGCUGCGGGGGCCGCGCGUGCGCUCGUCCAAACCAAACCCCUGUGAACCUUACGGGAUGGCCCGGGUUAGCGCCCGGUGCCGUUCCGCUUUAUACAAACACUUAUCAAAGAAUGAACUGAAGGCGGUCUGACCGCUGGAUAACAAACUGAAACAACUUUCAACAACGGAUCUCUUGGCUCUC
rnacentral:misc_RNA from 1 species